UACGUAGGGUGCAAGCGUUAAUCGGAAUUACUGGGCGUAAAGCGUGCGCAGGCGGUUUUGUAAGUCUGUCGUGAAAGCCCCGGGCUUAACCUGGGAAUUGCGAUGGAGACUGCAAGGCUUGAAUCUGGCAGAGGGGGGUAGAAUUCCACGUGUAGCAGUGAAAUGCGUAGAGAUGUGGAGGAACACCGAUGGCGAGGGCAGCCCCCUGGGUCAAGAUUGACGCUCAUGCACGAAAGCGUGGGGAGCAAACAGG
rnacentral:rRNA from 1 species